UCCUCAGGCUUUUGGAAUGUAAGCUGCCUCAUUUAGAGCCAGAACAGGACUCUAUACAUCAUUCUGCUGACUAUAAGACAGAAAUACCGUCUUCCCCCUACUUCCCCUUUCUGGUUUUAUACAUGCAUACUUUGCUUGUGGAAACAGUUAAGAUUGCCUGCUGGGGAGGAGAAGUUUCCUGGGCUGGGCAGAGACUGGAAAGCAAGGAGUGAAAGGAUCAAGACAAAAAAUAGGAGGUCAUGUGGAGUGCUUUUAGCUGCUUCUGAUGGUCUUACGGUGACUCUGUACCUUAAGCUCAAGGUGUAAUGACCAAAACAGCCUCUAUUUAGAAAAUUCAGCUUCUAAAAAUGAGCACUGUGUGAUUAUUCCAACUUGUGCAGAGAUACUGGGGAAUCUCCUGCUGUUCUUGGGCUUGUUAAAGUCACUGAUGCUCACUCAUCCUGA
rnacentral:lncRNA from 1 species